rnacentral:rRNA from 1 species
UAGGGAAUCUUCGGCAAUGGGGGGAACCCUGACCGAGCAACGCCGCGUGAGUGAAGAAGGUUUUCGGAUCGUAAAGCUCUGUUGUUAAGGAAGAACGAGUGUGAGAAUGGAAAGUUCAUACUGUGACGGUACUUAACCAGAAAGGGACGGCUAACUACGUGCCAGCAGCCGCGGUAAUACGUAGGUCCCGAGCGUUGUCCGGAUUUAUUGGGCGUAAAGCGAGCGCAGGCGGUUAGAUAAGUCUGAAGUUAAAGGCAGUGGCUCAACCAUUGUAGGCUUUGGAAACUGUUUAACUUGAGUGCAGAAGGGGAGAGUGGAAUUCCAUGUGUAGCGGUGAAAUGCGUAGAUAUAUGGAGGAACACCGGUGGCGAAAGCGGCUCUCUGGUCUUUAACUGACGCUGAGGCUCGAAAGCGUGGGGAGCGAACAGG